GACGAACGCUGGCGGCGUGCUUAACACAUGCAAGUCGAACGGAAAGGCCCUGCUUUUGUGGGGUGCUCGAGUGGCGAACGGGUGAGUAACACGUGAGUAACCUGCCCUUGACUUUGGGAUAACUUCAGGAAACUGGGGCUAAUACCGGAUAGGAGCUCCUGCUGCAUGGUGGGGGUUGGAAAGUUUCGGCGGUUGGGGAUGGACUCGCGGCUUAUCAGCUUGUUGGUGGGGUAGUGGCUUACCAAGGCUUUGACGGGUAGCCGGCCUGAGAGGGGGACCGGCCACAUUGGGAAUGAGAUACGGCCCAGAGUCGUACGGGAGGCAGGAGUGGGGAAUAGUGCACAAUGGGCGGAAGCCGGAUGCAGCAACGCCGCGUGCGGGAUGACGGCCUUCGGGUUGUAAACCGCUUUCGCCUGUGACGAAGCGUGAGUGACGGUAAUGGGUAAAGAAGCACCGGCUAACUACGUG
rnacentral:rRNA from 1 species